rnacentral:rRNA from 1 species
AUUGAACGCUGGCGGCAGGCUUAACACAUGCAAGUCGAACGAGUGGCGGACGGGUGAGUAAUGUUUGGGAAUCUAGCUUAUGGAGGGGGAUAACUACGGGAAACUGUAGCUAAUACCGCAUACUAUCGGAUGAACCCAUAUGGGAUUAGCUAGUUGGUGGGGUAAUGGCUCACCAAGGCGACGAUCUCUAGCUGGUUUGAGAGGAUGAUCAGCCACACGUGGACUGGGAAAAGGCCCAAACCCCUUAGGGGGGGAGCAGUGGGGAAUUUUGGACAAAGGGGGAAAGCCUGGUUCAACAAUACCGCGUGUGAGAAAGAAGCCCUAGGGUUUGAAAGCACUUUUGUUAGGGAGAUGUUACCUAAAGAAUAAGCACCGGCUAACUCCGUGCCAGCCGCCGCGGUAAUUC